rnacentral:rRNA from 1 species
AACGAACGCUGGCGGCAUGCCUAACACAUGCAAGUCGAACGAGACCUUCGGGUCUAUUGGCGCACGGGUGCGUAACGCGUGGGAAGCUGCCCUUAGGUUCGGAAUAACUCCCCGAAAGGGGUGCUAAUACCGGAUAAUGUCUUCGGACCAAAGAUUUAUCGCCUUUGGAUGGGCCCGCGUUGGAUUAGCUAUUUGGUAUGGUAAACGCCUACCAAGGCGACGAUCCAUAGCUGGUCUGAGAGGAUGAUCAGCCACACUGGGACUGAGACACGGCCCAGACUCCUACGGGAGGCAGCAGUGGCGAAUAUUGGACAAUGGGCGAAAGCCUGAUCCAGCAAUGCCGCGUGAGUGAUGAAGGUCUUAGGGUUGUAAAGCUCUUUUACCCGGGAUGAUAAUGACAGUACCGGGAGAAUAAGCUCCGGCUAACUCCGUG